UCAAGUCACCUCAUCAUAAUGAGUUCACAUAAACAACGAUUUCAAAGACCUUUAAAGUACUGCUUCAAUUACGAGUCCACAUAAACAGUGCUUUCAAAGACCUUUAAACUACUUCUUCAAUUUUAUUUCCUGUUUAUUAUCCAUUGUUUGAUUGAUUAACAAUUCAUAAUUAAUAAUAAUUAAUUAUUAAUUAUUAGUGAUGGAGAACUGGAUAUCGUAGAUAUAAACUCUUUAUUUUAGCCUGUUGUUAUUGUCAACUUACUGACAACUCUUUUGUCGUUCUUCCAACACCAAAACCAAAUUCUGCCCGCACCAUGAGUUCGCAAAUAUCCACUGCCUCCACCGUCAUGAACACAAGAAUUAUAUCUACUAUUAUGGGGUUAACUGUGUCAUCAAUGUAUAAUUCCAUAACUUCAUUCAAAUACCAUCACCGUAUCACAGGCAAUGGGCUUCUACUUACCCAUUGUAUGUGUCGUUUGAUUACAAUGGAGACAAACAUUUUAUCAAGGUUAGAAAAGGCAGUAACAAAUUCUAUUUUGCGGAUGGAUUGAAGGACUUCAGAAGAGCGUUGGGUAUUCAAGAAGGCCUGGUGGUUCAUUUUGCUGCACUCGAUAGAAAUACAACCUUUCAUUUGCAUUUCAUGCCACCACUGGACAGACAAACAUCUGGCAGGCCUUACAGUACUACCAUGACUUACGUAUUUACCGUCGAUAUUACCAAUCGUGUUGCCACCUUAUGCUAUUGAUGUCAUUGGACGCACAUCCCAAUAUCUUACUGUUGAACCACCCCGUGGUCGUCAGAUUUGGAGGAUGUCUGCCCAUGAUGGGCUGCAAACUCUGACUACACCUUGGUACCAAUUCUUGACGGACAACAACUUGAUGGCUAUAGAUGAGGUUGUCUUUUAUUACCAGCCAAACCAAGGUGUAUGGGAAAUCAUCCUGAGGAAGGAGAUCACUUGGGAUGAAGACGAGUCCCCCUAAAUGACAGAGAGAAUAGUUAUAACAGUAUUUUUUUACUUUUGUUGUGUUGUAGAAAAACUGAUAUGUUUUUUGCUUUCAAAUACCUUCGCGUAUUAGACAAUAUUAUAUAUGGUGUUCCUCUUGAUUCAGUAUAUGUUAUAAACGUGUUUCUUAUUCACAUGUUGAA